AUCCUUUUGUGAUUCUUAAGCAUCAUGAUUGAGUUUGCAUGCUAUUGUGUGAGAUGUGCCUCUCUCAAACCUUAUCAUGAUGUUGGCACUAAAGACUCUGCAGACA